UACGGAGGGUGCAAGCGUUAUCCGGAUUCACUGGGUUAAAGGGUGCGUAGGUGGCUUUGUAAGUCAGUGGUGAAAUGCCGCAGCUCAACUGCGGAACUGCCAUUGAUACUGCUUAGCUUGAAUCACGUCGAGGUGGAUGGAAUAUUACAUGUAGCGGUGAAAUGCUUAGAUAUGUAAUAGAACACCGAUUGCGAAGGCAGUUCACUAGGCGUGUAUUGACACUGAGGCACGAAAGCGUGGGGAUCAAACAGG
rnacentral:rRNA from 1 species